GGAGGAAAGCAGGGGAUCGUAAGACCUUGCGCUUUUGGAGUGGCCGAUGCCUGAUUAGCUAGUUGGUGGGGUAAAGGCCUACCAAGGCGACGAUCAGUAGUUGGUCUGAGAGGACGACCAGCCACACUGGGACUGAGACACGGCCCAGACUCCUACGGGAGGCAGCAGUGGGGAAUUUUGGACAAUGGGCGAAAGCCUGAUCCAGCAAUGCCGCGUGAGUGAAGAAGGCCUUCGGGUUGUAAAGCUCUUUCAGUCGAGAAGAAAAGAUUGUGAUGAAUAAUCACAGUUCAUGACGGUAUCGACAGAAGAAGCACCGGCUAACUACGUGCCAGCAGCCGCGGUAAUACGUAGGGUGCAAGCGUUAAUCGGAAUUACUGGGCGUAAAGGGUGCGCAGGCGGCUUUGUAAGUCAGAUGUGAAAUCCCCGGGCUUAACCUGGGAAUUGCGUUUGAAACUACAAAGCUAGA
rnacentral:rRNA from 1 species